rnacentral:lncRNA from 1 species
CCGAAGAGCGAAUCACGUGACAUUUGUGUUGCGCGUGAACUCGUGUUCACUCUCGGCUCAGUUGUGGGCAGUCGUUGGCGGACAAAGGAGGACAAAGAACGAACACAGGAAGGAGGGACAAAGAACGAACACAUGAAGGAAGCUUAGCAGCCAGAGACUCUGUAUUCCCAUGGAAAUGUGAAAUAGAGACAGUGAGGGAGCCAAAGACGGUGCAAGUCCUUCUGUAUGUUCCCUGCCUUGAGUCUUCUAGACCUCUACUGCUGGUGUCUUCUGUUCAGAAGUAUAUUCUCUUUAAGCUUGGCAGCCAGAGAAUCUGUAUUCCCAUGGAAAUGUGAAAUAGUGCCGGUCCUUCAGUAGGGACAGUGAGGGGGCCAAACACUGUGCAAGUCCUUCGGUCUGUUCCAGUGUUUUCAAUCUUCUAGACCUCUACUGCUGGUGUCCUUCUGUUCAGAAGUAUAUUCUCUUUAAGAACCAAGUUAGACCUUGAAUUACAAUGCUGGACACUAUUGAUCCUGCCUUUGCAACCACUGCAGAUCAUAAUCAGUCUGCACAUCCAUGAAGUCUGAUCAUGUCCAGCACUGUUCGUCAUUCAGUCAGUAUCUUUUUGUUUUGGCGCAGACAUUGUUUGGAGAGACUGGCAGAAGUGACGGAUGAAUAAAACUGUAACAACAACUAUUAAGCAACAUCAGAUCAGCUAACUCGGACGCUGAACUACCAGUAGCUGCUGGAAAUGUGGGACAGAGUUAGCAUUGAAUAACUUCCAGCUGGAUCUUGUCUGGAGCUUUCUGGAGUUCAUUUGAACUACAUCUGUACAGUCAACACUAUAAUUCAGGCUGGUGAGUCUGUGAUUGGUCAUCGACACCAAGAAAUGAGGAGACUUCUUUGUUCUGAUGUCUGCCAUCACUUCAGUUUACUGUCCUGGGAAUCGCCAUGGUGAUGACCUAGGUGUCAGAAUGGGAACCAGAACAUACAUUAUUGAAAACCUAGACAUUCUCAUUCUUCCAGUGAGUUACCUGUAUGGAGGAUAGGAUUUUCAUAAUUACAUAUUAAAAAUGAAAGCUACAUUGCAGCUUUGCCAAGCUACAUGACUGUAAUUGUUUGCCAGGAUUAGCUUCAGAUGGGGAAGUUAUAUUAUACAUUGAAAAUAUAUAUGUGAGAAAAAUUAAGUGAAAUGGUUAAAAAAAAAACUAUCGAAUACAAUGGAUCCCAAGAGGUUGCAAGAACUUAAAAGUGGAAUUGUACACCUUGAGGAAAUAAAACAAUUGUUUAAAUCAUUAAAUAUGUGUACAUAUAUUGAAUUACAGAUCUGUCAUAGGGUUCAUGGAGGUCAUAGCCAACAUAAUACAGAUGCCCCUCUUCUAAGAUUCAUUCCUGCAAACCAAGACCAAACUGAUGGACAAAGUAUUGGCUGAUUCAUUUGUGUCCCUUGCUUGAAGCUGCUUCCCAUGGAAUAUUUUCACCAAGUCAUUGACUGUCAACAUGGCAUGAAGACAGAAUGCACUGAUCAAACCAAGUUUCUUGUCGUUUUCUGGCAGCCAAUGGAAGAGCCGAGAAUACCAGUGCGAGUCAAGUGUUGAAUUUUCCACAUAAUAGCACAGAUUUCGAGCAUUGUUUCUCUCUGGU